CCUCUUACGUACUGCUGCACUAGUGCUGUCACUAUUGUCAUUGACAACUUGAAUAUAAUUGUUGACGUGCCCAUCUUUGUUGGGAGAGGUAACCAGCUCAUGUUGGUUAAAUGUCCAUUCACCAUCAAUAAUGUAUUUGUACUCAUAGCGUCCUUCCAACAAGUCCCUUUCGAGAAUCCAAAAACCCUUUUCCUCAUCAAAUUUUAACGGUAUUCUCUGGCCCCAUCCAAUAUCAAGUCCAGAAAUUUCCACUGUUGAGCAGUUGUCACCUUUCCACGUCAGAUUAACAAGCCUCUUCCUGAGACCUGUAAGUAUAUCGGCAGUAGCACUUUUUAUAGCAUCCAGCUUGGGGAAGCAUGAACGCUUACUCAGAAGUAAAUCAUGAGCUUCACCAAGUUUGUAACCCUGAACCCAAAACAUGUAUGCCAUUGCAACAGCAGGAGCUCUUCCUAGUCCAGCAGUGCAAUGUAUAUACGUCACACCUCCAUUUUGGUUUAUGGCUCUGAAUAAUUUACAGACCACCGCUGGAAGUUGUAUACGUAAAUCAAAUGCAUCAAAGUCCCUUAUUUCUGCACGCAGAUGUUGAAUGUCACCACAUUUCUCGGCAUAUUCGUGAAUGGCACUGAUAUCUACCCCAAAAUAUUCCAAGUCUCUGGAUCCUGUUGCAAGCAAAAUAUGGUUUUCACUCCUAUUUUUCGAAGCUUGUCAACAUCUUCAGGAGUCUGCAGGCAUGAUCCUACAAUCAAAUCUGGACGAAUGAAGUUGUAG
rnacentral:misc_RNA from 1 species